rnacentral:lncRNA from 1 species
GGCCAGCCCCACCCAGGCCCCGCCCUGUUCCUUUUCUGCUCCGCCCAGACCCCCAGGCCUUCCCUGGCUUGGCUCCUGUGGUUCCCCCAGUGCCAGCCCCCUGCAGGCCGACACGGGGUCGGGCCAGUUCCCUACUAGCUCGUGGAACUGGGCGGCGGCGCACGAAGUAGACCCUCCAUAGACUUCGAAGUGGUGCCCACGUGGGCACCGAGCGCCCUACUGUAGCAGUGGACUCGAUCUUGGUCUGGCCUUUAACGUCGGAAGCUCUUUCACUCAGCACACAGAGAUUUGAACUUUGCCCCCAAAGAAAAUAAAACUGCAAUGCAAGUCUAAGGUGCCAGGAGGCCGUUACCUGGAAAUUUAGCUUUCAAUGACUUGUGCCUUGGGUUCAUGCCAACGUGGACCGCAGGGGUUCUCAGCCUUCACCUGCGGGGGAUCACCUGCAGGGCUGGUUAGGACGCAGACCAGAGAUUCCGGUCUGCAGGCUCCACAGACUCAUGUCGUUCUGAUUGGGCUGAAUUGAAGAGCUGCCCAGCCUCUCCCCUGGCCCUGAGGCCCCUGAUCUAGAGGGACUAACUAGAGGGACGGCGUGGCAAUGGCAAGUGUACCCAAGACAGCAUGCCCGGAGGUUUAUCAAGGAAUAUUCAUCCAGAGGGAAAGAGCAAUGGACAAUGAGCAUGUUGGACCAGAUGGGCACGUGUCCAAGUGCACCCUAUGGAAUGUAUCAGCAUCGGCCUCGCCUGGAAGCCUGAUAGAAAUGCAGAUUCCCAGGCCCUGCCCAGGCCUGCUCUAUCCAGAUCUCUUGGUGGUGGAGCCCAGGGAUCUGCAUGUCACGAGCUUGCUCAGAGUAUCUGUGAACUGAGUUCAAUCCACAGCCCUCUACUCCAACGCUAGCCAGAGCCUGGGGCCAUUGCCUCUUCCCCCACCUGCCCCUCCAUACUGUCAGCACCUCUGCAUUGUGGCCUUUCUGCCACCCCCAACUGACUUGGGGAUCCCAACCACCCACACCCAGGGGCCUGCACCAGACUGCAGAGUGUUGCCUGAGGUGACACAGUCCACAGUCAUCCUUUUCUCCUCUCCUUCCCAGUUAAUUCCAUUCUCCACGCCUCUCAUGGUGAUUCCUGAUCUUCACAGGCCCCAGAGCCUCUGACCCUGGUGUUCCCCCUGAGAAAAUGAGGCCAGGGUUUGUGAGCUGCCCAUGCCACACCUGUGCCUGCCUCAUCAAGUGGAGUCCCUUUAGCUCAGCUCUAGGGUCCCCCUUCUUGCUUCCUCAAAGAUUCUCCUCUCUCCCAAGUUCCUCCUCUUCUUCUCAACACUUCUCUCUUCCGGGGCUUCCUCCUUGACACGUCAAUGUUGUCUAGCUGUCUUCAUCAAUUUUCUUUAUUAUUUUAUUUGUAUAUAUUGUGUUUUAUUUUAAGACAGGGUCUUGCUCUGUCAGCCAGCCUGGAGUUCAGUGGUGCAGUCAUAGCUCACUGCAGCCGCGACCUCCUGGGCUCAAGCAAUCCUCCCACCUCAGCCUCUUGAGUAGCUGGGACAACAGGCAUGGGCCACUACAGCUGGCUAAUAUUUUCUUUUUACUUUUUAAGAGACAGGGUCUUACUAGUCAUCCUCGUCUUUAAGAACGAAGCAAAACAAGGGUCUCGAAGAGAUAUUUGUACCCGCUGUUCAUAGCAGCAUUAUUAAAGAGUUAAUAUGUGGACCCAACCCAAGUGUGUUUCCAUUGAUGAAUAAUGAGCAGAACGGGGUCAUCCGUGCAGUGGGUAUUACCAGCCUUAGAAAGGAAAGGAAUCCCGACGCACCCUGCAACAUGGAUGAACCUAGAGGACAUUAAGCUCAGCGAAGUAAGCCAGUGAUGAACAGACAAAUAUCAUUCCACUUCUAGGAGGCACUUAGUGUUGUCAAAGUCAAUGACAGACAGUAAAGCAGGGUUGCUGGGGCUGGGGGAGGGGAACGGGGUUGGUGUUCAGUGGGGACAGUGUUUCAGUUUUGCAAGAUGGAAGGAGCUCUGGUGUUGGUGGUGGUUGUCUGACAUUACGACAUUAUGAAUGUAUUUCAUACCAUUGCGCUGUACACAUAAAAAAGAUUAAAAUGGCAAAUUUUAUGUUCUGUGUAUUUUGCCACCAUAAAAACAGUUGGGGGGGGGAAAGAAGUAAAACAAAAAUGAAUCCCUAUGGCUCCUCCUUUCCUCUUUUCCCUCCAGAGUCCGUCUUCUUGAAAGAAUGGUUUCUUAGGCCCCACGUCCACAUCUUGCCCUCCCACAGUGUGGUUUUGAUUCUCAGAGGCCUCCGUGGGCUCCAGAACCCUCUUGGUUUCUAAUCCCAGUGGCUCCUUUCAGACAACCUGUCUUCCCUGGGACACAUGAGUGUUGCUCAGCCUGCCCUAUCCAUCUCAGCACCAUCCCCCUUGCCCUCUGUGAUACGGCUUUCUUCCUCCAGCUAUAGCCAGUCAUUGGAGCCACCCACAGGAGUUUGCCCUUCUCCCGCCUCCUCAUGCAUACGCACUGACAAAGCGGCUCUCCAAGUCCAAGUGUGGCUUGGAGCUUCAGCAGCACCGAGACCUGUUGGACAUGCAACUCCUUGCCUCCCAGCCCUGACCUGCUGAAUCCAAAACCCUGGGGCUGAGCCAGCCAUGUGUGUUGCCAACCACGUUGGUUCCAGUCCAUUCUGGUUCACCCUGCAGUCGAGAACCACUGGGCUAAGCGAGCUCACCCUCGGAGCUCAGGAGUGACACUCAACAUCCUCCCGCUCUCAGGAUUCUCAGGCCUCUGCAGCUGAGCGGCCCUGGACGACUCUGGCCUGUGUCAGCCCCUGCAG